rnacentral:rRNA from 1 species
AUUAGAGGCAUGCCUGCCCAGUGACUUAGUUAAACGGCCGCGGUAUCCUGACCGUGCAAAGGUAGCAUAAUCACUUGUUCCUUAAUUAGGGACUAGAAUGAACGGCUAAACGAGGAUUUAACUGUCUCUUACCUCUAAUCAGUGAAAUUGACCUCCCCGUGAAGAGGCGGGGAUAAAAUAAUAAGACGAGAAGACCCUAUGGAGCUUUAAUCUCGCUUCUUAACUUCAACCCCUCAUAACCUAUUGGCCCAAAACAUGUAAGUAUAAGAACUAGAUUUUGGUUGGGGUGACCUCGGAGCACAAAAAAUCCUCCGAAUGAUUAUAGCCUAGGCCCACAAGCCAAAGCACUUAUAAUCUUAUUGACCCAAAGACAUUUGAUCAACGGACCAAGUUACCCUAGGGAUAACAGCGCAAUCCUGUUCGAGAGUCCAUAUCGACAAUUAGGGUUUACGACCUCGAUGUUGGAUCAGGACAUCCCAAUGGUGUAGAAGCUAUUAAAGGUUCGUUUGUUCAACGAUUAAAGUCCUACGUGAUCUGUUU